rnacentral:tRNA from 2 species
GCGGGUGUAGUUCAAUGGUAGAACACCAGCUUCCCAAGCUGGCAGCGUGGGUUCGAUUCCCAUCACCCGCU